rnacentral:rRNA from 1 species
CUUGUUUACCUAUAAGAGGUCCAGCCUGCCCAGUGACUCUGUUCAACGGCCGCGGUAUCCUAACCGUGCGAAGGUAGCGUAAUCACUUGUUCUUUAAAUGAGGACUAGUAUGAAUGGCACCACGAAGGUUAUACUGUCUCCUCUCUCUAAUCAGUGAAACUAAUCUCCCCGUGAAGAAGCGGGGAUAAUCUUAUAAGACGAGAAGACCCUAUGGAGCUUUAAACUAAGAAUCAACUGCCUUUACCAUAUUUAAAUUCCAGAAGACUAACUUUUACCAAGACAUUCUGAUUUCUAGUUUUAGGUUGGGGUGACCACGGAGUAAAAACUAAUCUCCGCAAUGAACAGGGAUCUUCCCUUAACCAAGGACCACAACCCCAAGAAUCAAUACAUUGACAUCAAUUGACCCAUUAAACCUGAUCAAUGAAC